UCAGAAAAGUUAUUGUUUUAUUAUUUCAAUGCUGAAAAAAUGAUUAAAACAAUAACAAAUUGUGUUAUAAAUGCUUUUGGAGAUAGUUGCAUAGAGGAAGGAUCUAUACAAAUAUACAACAAUGUGUGUAACAAAUAUCUAAAGUGUCUCAAGCUCUGGUUGAUGUGCAUCCUUAACCAAUUUGUAUAAUUUGUAUAAGCAGUUCAAUUUGUCAGUGCUAUUUAACAAACUUGAGUCAUUAUUAAAUUUGGCUAACAUUUAUAAACAUGAUUAAGACGGUUAUUUCAAUAUCAGGUAUCAUUUCCAAGUAUGAUUCACUAUCAAUUAUCGGAUGUUGUCUGGUGAGAACGACUGUGACUUCGGGAUUCAUUAAUUAGCACAUCGCAGAAUCGAAUCGUCUGGAACUUCGAACCCGAUAUAAGCAAGCAGUAUUUAUCCUGAGCAUUCAAACGCAUUCUAGUAAGGAGAUAAUCAACACUGUGAUUGACUGAGUUUAAUUUUUACAACAUGAUACGAGUUAUCUUUAUUAUUGCACUGUGCUUAGCAGUAUCAUCAGUGCCAGUCCCAUCUUACGAUUCUGCAAGUUACAACCUGUUUAGUUCAGAUUUCAGUGAUUACCGAAUAGUACCGAGAAAGUAUUACUACGUGCUGCCAAGUCAAAAAUCAUACGAUAACAGGGAUCAGUAUUUCAAACAAUUCAGCACUUCAACAGCAGCACCAGUUUCGACCACAACGACUACAACAUCAACCACAAAAACAAAGAAACCCAAAAAGUUCUGGCCGUGCCCGCCGAGCAUUAUAGGGUGAACCUAAAAGUUGUGAUUUAAAAAGAUUUUCGAUUGAUUGUGAUAUUUUGUAAAACUAUUGAGGACUGAAAACAUAACCUUUAAUAUUCUAAUAAACUAUAUUUUU